AACCAGAAGGCGCAAUGAAAGUGAAGGCACGGUCGCCGUGCUGAGGUGAGAGCCGUCCCCGGCGGGACGGCGCAUCAUCGACCGAUCCCAUCUGCGCUUCGGUGUGGCGGGAUUCGAGUGAGAGUGUACCUGUUGCGACCCGAAAGAUGGUGAACUAUGCCUGAAUAGGGUGAAGCCAGAGGAAACUCUGGUGGAGGCCCGUAGCGAUUCUGACGUGCAAAUCGAUCGUCAAAUUUGGGUAUAGGGGCGAAAGACUAAUCGAACCAUCUAGUAGCUGGUUCCCUCCGAAGUUUCCCUCAGGAUAGCUGUAGCCCGAAGCAGUUUUAUCAGGUAAAGCGAAUGAUUAGAGGUAUCGGGGAAGAAACUUCCUCGACCUAUUCUCAAACUUUAAAUAGGUAAGAAGUCCGACUUGCUCAAUCUGAAGCCGGACACAGAAUGCUGGGUUACUAGUGGGCCAUUUUUGGUAAGCAGAACUGGCGAUGCGGGAUGAACCGAACGCAGAGUUAAGGUGCCAAAGUCGACGCUCAUCAGAUCCCACAAA
rnacentral:rRNA from 1 species